rnacentral:rRNA from 1 species
GACGAACGCUGGCGGCGUGCUUAACACAUGCAAGUCGAACGACGAAGCUGGAGCUUGCUCUAGCGGAUUAGUGGCGAACGGGUGCGUAACACGUGAGCAAUCUGCCCUUGACUCUGGGAUAAUUGCGGGAAACUGUAGCUAAUACCGGAUAAGAGACUUAGAGUCAUCUCUGAGUCUGGAAAGAAUUUAGGUCAAGGGUGAGCUCGCGGCCUAUCAGCUAGUUGGUGAGGUAAUGGCUCACCAAGGCGACGACGGGUAGACGGACUGAGGGUGUGACCGGGCACAGUGGGACUGAGACACGGGCCAGACUCCUACGGGAGGCAGCAGUAGGGGAGAUUGCACAAUGGGCGAAAGCCAGGUGCAGCACCGCCGCGUGAGGGAUGAAAGCCUUCGGGUAGUAAACCUCUUCUAUCAGGGAAGAGGCGAAAGUGACGGUACCUGAAGAAAAAGCACCGGCUAACUACGUGCCAGCCGCCGCCGUAA